GACGAACGCUGGCGGCGUGCUUAACACAUGCAAGUCGAACGGAAAGGCCCUGCUUGCAGGGUGCUCGAGUGGCGAACGGGUGAGUAACACGUGGGUGAUCUGCCCCUUACUUUGGGAUAAGCCUGAGAAACUGGGUCUAAUACUGGAUAGGACCAUGCUGUAGGUGGUGUGGUGGAAAGAUUAGUUUCGGUAAGGGAUGAGCUCGCGGCCUAUCAGCUUGUUGGUGGGGUAAUGGCCUACCAAGGCGUCGACGGGUAGCCGGCCUGAGAGGGUGGACGGCCACAUUGGGACUGAGAUACGGCCCAGACUCCUACGGGAGGCAGCAGUGGGGAAUAUUGCACAAUGGGCGCAAGCCUGAUGCAGCGACGCCGCGUGGGGGAUGACGGCCUUCGGGUUGUAAACUCCUUUCAGCCAUGACGAAGCCCUUGUGGUGACGGUAGUGGUAGAAGAAGCACCGGCUAACUACGUG
rnacentral:rRNA from 1 species